rnacentral:rRNA from 1 species
CCUACGGGAGGCAGCAGUGGGGAAUAUUGCACAAUGGGGGAAACCCUGAUGCAGCGACGCCGCGUGAGUGAAGAAGUAUUUCGGUAUGUAAAGCUCUAUCAGCAGGAACGAGACAAGACGGUACCUGACUAAGAAGCCCCGGCUAACUACGUCCCAGCAGCCGCGGUAAUACGUAGGGGGCAAGCGUUAUCCGGAAUCACUGGGUGGAAAGGGAGCGUAGACGGCUGUGCAAGCCUGAAGUGAAAGGCGGGGGCCCAACCCCUGGACUGCUUUGGGAACUGUACGGCUGGAGUGCAGGAGAGGUAAGUGGAAUUCCUAGUGUAGCGGUGAAAUGCGUAGAUAUUAGGAGGAACACCAGUGGCGAAGGCGGCUUACUGGACUGUAACUGACGUUGAGGCUCGAAAGCGUGUGGAGCAAACAGGAUUAGAUACCCUAGUAGUC